rnacentral:lncRNA from 1 species
UAGCAUAAUAAGGAUUCUCAAGUUCAAAUCUUUUGAAAUGUCAAGCACAAUGAUUUAAAUUGCAAAUUGCAUCACGUGAUGCAGCCGCAAACUAUUUUUUUAGUUUUUCAAUGCAAGUUUAUAUCUUGAUUCUUUAACAAUUGUCCUACCUACUAUGUACACACACAAAAUUUACACUCACUUUAUUAUAUAUUUUGGUUCAAGCCAUUGAACAGAACUGAUAUAAAUGUAACCUUUUCUUUUCUAAUGAUUCAGAUAAUGUACCUAACUUACUCAAAAACUUGAGUACACUGAGUGUGUCAUCAACAAUGCCUGAUAUGGAAGAAGAAGAACAUGAUGAAGGAAUAGUUGAAAGAGAGAACAAAGGGAAACAAAACAUGUUGAUUGAAAAAGAUGAAGAACAUAGCAAAUGGACACAUAUACCUAGUGAUAUUCUGGAAAUGAUAAUGAAGCGUUUGAAACUUAUAGAUUUCUUUGGAACUAGUGCAGUGUGUUCAUCUUGGAAGGCUACCUUUACUAAAGCCAUUGCAAACAAGCAUAUCAAACCAUUACCUGAAUUGCCUCUUGUAAUCCUGCAAUCGACUAAGAUUCCUACAUCAGCAAGCAGUGUUUUGAGCAUCAAAUCAGAAGAAGUAUGUUCUUUCAUAAACAAAAACACAAUGUUACCUGAAAGUCACCAUAUAUGUCAUGGCACAGUUGAAGGAUGGAUGAUUUUGAGUAUUUCUCUUUUUGUUGAUAUUACCAACAUCAUCUUUUUCUUGAAUCCAGUUACCGGUGAUGUAGUAAUUGCUCCUUCACCUUUGAAAUUUCCAUCAAACUCUCCUAUUCCAAGAAGAUCAAAUUUGAAUAUGGGAAGAAUGGUGGCAUCUUCUAGUCCUAAAUGUGAAGAUUGUGUUGUAGUUGGUCUCUUUAUUGAUUAUGUCCACAUUGCAUAUUGUAGAGUUAAUCAUGACAAAUCAUGGACUAUGAUUGAAGCAAAGAAAGAGGAUGCAUGGAAUUUUCUGGAUAUGGAAAUUUUCAAUGGUAAAUUGUAUGUUAGAACUAACAUGGCAAGCAGUUCUAUGUUAGUUUAUGAUCUGCAAGAUUCGACUAAUAAUCCUCCAAAGCCUAUAGUAUUAGGUGAGAUUCCACCAAUAAGGCCAUUACCAGAAUCAAGGACACAUGAAAAUCAAAUUCAUGUUAAGGGUAAUGUCAUUCGAUUUCUAACAACAGGUUAUGCAGCAGAAGAGUUAUUGCUCAUAUACUUGUUUAACAAUUAUGUUUUUGAAAAUGAUAAUGUUGCCUAUAUGAAUGUUGUCAAGCAAUAUGCAAGUCCCCCUCAAGUUACCAAAUGUGAAGUGUUCAAGUUAGACACAAGAAGUAAUAAGUGGGUGAAGCUUGAUCACUUGGGUGACAGAGUGAUAUUUCUUGGAUAUGAUAAGUCCUACGUAAUGUCAAGAACAUUACUUAAUUGCAGUGAAGAGUUAAUUGCAGAGAAUAGUGUCUAUUUUGCUCUUUACUUUCCAUGUCCAGAACCAUGGUCGAAAGCUCAAUUGGGGAGGCUUUGUUUGACUGAUAACAAGAUCAAGUACUUUUCUUUGGAGGAAUUUGGAGUUGAACUAUAUGCUUACCCUUCCUGGUUCUUACCAAGUGCUUGGUAGUUCGUUAUUUUGCUGCUUACAUUUGCUUUAGGUUUCACCAUUGUCAUCUAUGAAUUGAUUGAUAUUUUUUUUGUAUCAUACAUUUUCAUGAAUCCUCCAUGCUAAAAGUGGUGUAAUAAUGUAGAAAAAGAAUCACAUAAUUUGGAAUUAAAGUCGUUGCUGAUCGCUGUUUUGAUGCAAAAUAUAUGGUACGAUAUGCCGUGCAAGGAAGUUAAUCCAGAAAAAGAGCAUUAAAUUGUAAAGCUAACAAAACAAGAAAAGACUUAUCUGAACUCUUCCUUCAACAACCAUUCUUUUUCAAGCUCUUCCUCCAGUUUUCUCUGCAGAAGAUCCAGUUCUGCAUCAGUAGUAGUCUCACAUCUAGCUUCCUCUGUUUUUUGCUUGCAUGCAUCAAUUUUUUCCUGAUAAU